rnacentral:rRNA from 1 species
AACGGAGAGUUUGAUCCUGGCUCAGAACGAACGUUGGCGGCGUGGAUUAGGCAUGCAAGUCGUACGAGAAAGUUCCCUUCGGGGAGCGAGUAUAGUGGCGAACGGGUGAGUAACGGGUGGGAAACCUGCCUUUUUGUGGGGGAUAACAUUCCUAACGGGGUGCUAAUACCGCAUGGUUCGGUGCAUCGCAUGAUGCACCGAUAAAGAUGGCCUCUACAUGUAAGCUGUCGCAGAAAGAUGGUCCCGCCUCCCAUUAGCUUGUUGGUAGGGUAAUGGCCUACCAAGGCAUCGAUGGGUAGCCGGCCUGAGAGGGUGUCCGGCCACACUGGGACUGAGAUACGGCCCAGACUCCUACGGGAGGCAGCAGUCGAGAAGCUUCGGCAAUGGGCGAAAGCCUGACCGAGCGACGCCG